rnacentral:rRNA from 1 species
UACAGAGGGUGCAAGCGUUGCUCGGAAUUAUUGGGCGUAAAGGGUAGGUAGGUGGUCUCGUUUGUCUGAGGUGAAAGCCCUGGGCUUAACCUAGGAAGUGCCUCGGAAACGGCGAGACUGGAGUCCUGGAGAGGGUCGUGGAAUUCCCGGUGUAGCGGUGAAAUGCGUAGAGAUCGGGAGGAAUACCAGAGGCGAAGGCGACGACCUGGACAGGCACUGACACUCAACUACGAAAGCGUGGGGAUCAAACAGG